rnacentral:rRNA from 1 species
AUUGAACGCUGGCGGCAGGCCUAACACAUGCAAGUCGAACGCACCGCAAGGUGAGUGGCGCACGGGUGAGUAACACGUGGGAAUGUACCCUUUGGUUCGGAAUAACGUCUGGAAACGGACGCUAAUACCGGAUGAGCCCUGCGGGGGAAAGAUUUAUCGCCAAAGGAGCAGCCCGCGUCUGAUUAGCUAGUUGGCGGGGUAAAGGCCUACCAAGGCGACGAUCAGUAGCUGGUCUGAGAGGAUGAUCAGCCACACUGGGACUGAGACACGGCCCAGACUCCUACGGGAGGCAGCAGUGUGGAAUAUUGGACAAUGGGCGAAAGCCUGAUCCAGCCAUGCCGCGUGAGUGAUGAAGGCCUUCGGGUUGUAAAGCUCUUUCGCACGCGACGAGGAUGACGGUAGCGUGAGAAGAAGCCCCGGCUAACUUCGUGCCAGCCGCCGCCGUAAUAC